UACGUAGGGUGCAAGCGUUAUCCGGAAUCAUUGGGCGUAAAGAGCUCGUAGGCGGUUCAGCAAGUCGGCUGUGAAAGUCCGAGGCUCAACCUCGGAAUUGCAGUCGAUACUGCUGUGACUCGAGUCCGGUAGAGGAGAAUGGAAUUCUCGGUGUAGCGGUGAAAUGCGCAGAUAUCGAGAGGAACACCAGUAGCGAAGGCGGUUCUCUGGGCCGGCACUGACGCUGAGGAGCGAAAGCGUGGGGAGCAAACAGG
rnacentral:rRNA from 1 species